CAGAUUAGAGCUUGUAAAAGCUUUUUACUUACAUUAAAAUGAAAUUCGUAAUGAGUUGAUCUGA
rnacentral:tRNA from 1 species